GGAGGGCUCAGCUCAGCGGUAGAGCGCAUGCUCAGCGUGCACGAGGUCCUGGGUUCAAUCCCCAGUCCCUCCA
rfam:Camelus ferus unplaced genomic scaffold scaffold932, whole genome shotgun sequence.